rnacentral:rRNA from 1 species
AGGACGACGCUGGCGGCGUGCUUAACACAUGCAAGUGGAGCGACGAACCGGGGCUUGCCCCGGGGCAGAGCCGCGAACGGGUGAGUAACACGUGGGUAACCUGCCUCAAUGAUUGGGACAACCCGGGGAAACUCGGGCUAAUACCAAAUGUGUUCACUCCUUCCAAGGGGGAGUGAGGAAAGGAGCUUCGGCCUCCGCAUUGAGAUGGGCCCGCGGCCCAUUAGCUUGUUGGUGAGGUAACGGCUCACCAAGGCUUCGAUGGGUAGCUGGUCUGAGAGGACGAUCAGCCGCACUGGGACUGAGACACGGCCCAGACUCCUACGGGAGGCAGCAGUGGGGAAUCUUGCACAAUGCGCGAAAGCGUGAUGCAGCAACGCCGCGUGGGGGAAGACGGCCUUCGGGUUGUAAACCCCUUUCAGUUGGGACGAAGCUUCGUCGGUGAAUAGCCGGUUGGAGUGACGGUACCUUCAGAAGAAGCCCCGGCUAACUACGUG